rnacentral:rRNA from 1 species
UACGGAGGGUGCGAGCGUUGUCCGGAAUCACUGGGCGUAAAGGGCGCGUAGGCGGCCUGAUAAGUAGGGGGUGAAAUCCUGCGGCUUAACCGCAGGGCUGCCUUCUAAACUGUCAGGCUAGAGCACAGUAGAGGCAGGUGGAAUUCCCGGUGUAGCGGUGGAAUGCGUAGAGAUCGUAAGGAAGACCAGUGGCGAAGGCGGGUCUCUGGACAGUUCCUGACACUGAGGCACGAAGGCCAGGGGAGCAAACGGG